rnacentral:lncRNA from 1 species
GCCACUGCGAUCAAAGCAGAUGAACGACAGACAAAUGGCGACCUGUCCAGUCUGACCAUUGGAUGCAACUGGCUCCCGGCAGCACUCACGCGAAGGGCACCUUACAUUUAUGAUGGACAACACGCCAGAUCAUACGCUACAUCUGCAAUGGAUUUUCAAUCGUCCACUUCGGUUGAAUGAGCCAAUGCUUCAUUUUCUUCUGUGUAUGUGAUGUAGUGUAACCUGAACCCAGCGGUAUAAUCAGCAGGAAAGGAAACCCAAAGAAUCUUGAGAGAACUCAUGAAGGAUAUGAAGCAGACAAGUGAGAUGAUCUGAUUAGAUUUUAGAAAGAUCAACUUUUGGCUGGAUAAAGCUGAGACUAAAAGCAGAGUGGCAAACUACUGCAGUGGUCCAUGCAAAAAAAAAAAAAAAAAGUGGUAUCUUGAAGUAUGCAAGCAGCAAAGCGAAGGACA